rnacentral:lncRNA from 1 species
UUAACACAAUAAAUUGCCAUUUGAGUCAUUUUUGCCAAACGGUGACAAUAUUUAAUAUUGUCUAGAUGUGGUUGAAAUGUAUCGGUGUGCUGACUCAUUAGAAGUAGUGGCACUAUAAGAUUAACGUCUGUGAAAUAGUUUGUGCUCAAAUUUGCACUUCACUAUAUAUAACUUAAAACCAACAGUUUGGCAAACUGUUACAUUCACCGGUUUUUGUUUUAGCAAUAUUAAAGACACACGCUUUAAAAAUUUAACUCACUCAAAUUGAAAAAUAGGAAAAAUAUGAUCAAAAGUUUCGUUUUUCGUUUUUCACGAAAUCGAAUUGGAUAUUGGAAAAGUGAUAAUGGAACGUACUUUGUCUUUUAAUUAUGAGUAUAAAAAUGUUUUACUAUCAUACGGUUAGAACACGGAUUAGACUAAAAUUAAUAUUUAUUUAUUAAUUUUUUUAUCGAAGUUUGAAACAGUGUCAAAGUCAUUAGUAUGUUUUUUAGCGUGCAUGCAAGUUUGUCGGUCAAACCCAUCAAAACAUUCAGAGCGAAAAAAGAAAAAAAAAUCACUGCAACAGAAAUCAAACGCAAAUCUAUGUACUGAUGCUAGUUUUAAAUGAAAUUCGGCCGCGGUGGAACAGCAGCGCUAUUAUGAUUUCGUAUGUGAAGAUGAUCAUCGGCUUGGUGGCAGCUGCAAAAACAGCCGAACUCACCGCUGCUGGUUACUCUUGGCAAUGAAUGAACCAGCUGCAAGGAGAACCCAUUGUCCGGAUCACCUAUACGUGGACAUCAAACCAAAAAGUCUGAUUCACCAGCAUCAAGCGUAGGCCAUCCUGAACAACAGCCUGGAUCCAAGAAGCAAGCGCUGAAAGAAAGCCAUCUCUGUGAGGUUUAUUCAGCUACGUAAUUGCUGCAUUCAUGGACUUUAAUCAGACUAUGAAAUGAAAGUGACUGGAUCACCGAUGAUUAAUCGCACCACCUCAACGGAGCACGAGCUUCAAAAGCAUUGUUCAAGGCAAAAUUGUGCCACGAUUCUAUUUUUUUAUUUUAAAUAUCGAAUAAGGCAACCUUAAGCUUUAAUAAACAUUCAAAAUAUUUUGUCUUCAA